rnacentral:rRNA from 1 species
AGUGAACGCUGGCGGUAGGCCUAACCCAUGCAAGUCGAACGGCAGCACAGUAAGAGCUUGCUCUUACGGGUGGCGAGUGGCGGACGGGUGAGGAAUACAUCGGAAUCUACUUUUUCGUGGGGGAUAACGUAGGGAAACUUACGCUAAUACCGCAUACGACCUACGGGUGAAAGCAGGGGAUCUUCGGACCCUGCGCGAUUGAAUGAGCCGAUGUCGGAUUAGCUAGUUGGCGGGGUAAAGGCCCACCAAGGCGACGAUCCGUAGCUGGUCUGAGAGGAUGAUCAGCCACACUGGAACUGAGACACGGUCCAGACUCCUACGGGAGGCAGCAGUGGGGAAUAUUGGACAAUGGGCGCAAGCCUGAUCCAGCCAUACCGCGUGGGUGAAGAAGGCCUUCGGGUUGUAAAGCCCUUUUGUUGGGAAAGAAAAGCAGCAGGUUAAUACCCCGCUGUUCUGACGGUACCCAAAGAAUAAGCACCGGCUAACUUCGUG